rnacentral:rRNA from 1 species
AGUGGCGGACGGGUGAGUAACGCGUGGGUAACCUGCCUCAUACAGGGGGAUAACAGUUAGAAAUGACUGCUAAUACCGCAUAAGACCACGGAGCCGCAUGGCUCAGUGGGAAAAACUCCGGUGGUAUGAGAUGGACCCGCGUCUGAUUAGGUAGUUGGUGGGGUAACGGCCUACCAAGCCAACGAUCAGUAGCCGACCUGAGAGGGUGACCGGCCACAUUGGGACUGAGACACGGCCCAA